CAAUUUUCUUUUGUUUUAUUCCACCUGCUGGUCCUGAAAGGGGUCAAAUGACAUACAUUGUCUUAUGAAAACCGUUCUUAACAUAGUUGAAUUACAGGAAACCCAUUGCAAAUGUUUACAAAAAGUUCUGACGGGAAAAACUGCUCAGGAGGAAUCAUUACAGAACUAACAGUUUUACCCUCACGUACGUGUCUUGGAAAAUUCAAGAAACUAUAAGAUGAAGGAACGUUCACUUUUUGUGUUUGUGCCGUAAGUUUUGAACAAAUUACAGAUCCAAAUGCUAAAAAGGUCAAGCAAUUGUAAACCUAUCGCAGUGUACGAUUACUGGUCUCAAAAUUUAUAAUAUUGAGCUUCAUUAUAUACUGGACGAGUCUCCCGUUGAAUUCUGUUUCAAGGAAAAUUCACAGAAGGAAAUUACACGAUUUUCUACAACAUAAACAGAAUUAUGAGAAAAACCAAAGAAAGACUAAGAACUCAAGACUGCGGUGGAUUACCAGCCUGAUUACAGUGGGGCAAUAAAUUUUCAUAAUAAACGCUGUUCACAUUUA